rnacentral:lncRNA from 1 species
AGAUCUCAAUUAUGAAAGAAUCCUGAGUCAAUAAAGCUGUGUUGAAAGCCUGGUCAUGGUCUGGAGGAAGUUACAACAUGUCAUAAAGGAAUAUAUUCCAAAAUCUUGAAAAUUUAAGAGCCUUUAUGACUAGUCAAAGAACACAUGUGAUGACCAUGUAAUUUUCUGCUUUUUCUAACAUUUUUUGUGCAGGUCUUGGUCAAGUCUUUUCUCUUUGAAGACUGAAACCCACUCACAUCAAUUGAAUGCAGUAUGGUUCAGUUU